rnacentral:rRNA from 1 species
UCUUCUAGCUUGCUAGAAGUGGAUUAGUGGCGCACGGGUGAGUAAUGCAUAGGUUAUGUGCCCUUUAGUCUGGGAUAGCCACUGGAAACGGUGAUUAAUACUGGAUACUCCCUACGGGGGAAAGUUUUUCGCUAAAGGAUCAGCCUAUGUCCUAUCAGCUUGUUGGUGAGGUAAUGGCUCACCAAGGCUAUGACGGGUAUCCGGCCUGAGAGGGUGAUCGGACACACUGGAACUGAGACACGGUCCAGACUCCUACGGGAGGCAGCAGUAGGGAAUAUUGCUCAAUGGGGGAAACCCUGAAGCAGCAACGCCGCGUGGAGGAUGAAGGUUUUAGGAUUGUAAACUCCUUUUGUUAGAGAAGAUUAUGACGGUAUCUAACGAAUAAGCACCGGCUAACUCCGUGCCAGCAGCCGCGGUAAUACGGAGGGUGCAAGCGUUACUCGGAAUCACUGGGCGUAAAGAGUGCGUAGGCGGGGUAAUAAGUCAGAUGUGAAAUCCUGUAGCUUAACUACAGAACUGCAUUUGAAACUGUUACUCUGGAGUGUGGGAGAGGUAGGUGGAAUUCUUGGUGUAGGGGUAAAAUCCGUAGAGAUCAAGAGGAAUACUCAUUGCGAAGGCGACCUGCUGGAACAUUACUGACGCUGAUGCACGAAAGCGUGGGGAGCAAACAGGAUUAGAUACCCUGGUAGUCCACGCCCUAAACGAUGGAUGCUAGUUGUUGCCUUGCUUGUCAGGGCAGUAAUGCAGCUAACGCAUUAAGCAUCCCGCCUGGGGAGUACGGUCGCAAGAUUAAAACUCAAAGGAAUAGACGGGGACCCGCACAAGCGGUGGAGCAUGUGGUUUAAUUCGAAGAUACGCGAAGAACCUUACCUAGGCUUGACAUUGAU